UUUUCCAGAGUGAAGGACUGUUUUAAAUUUCCAAUGAGAAUGCUCUUCUAGGGCUGGAGAGAUGGCUCAGCCAUUAAAGGCUAGGCUCACAACCAAAAU
ensembl:miRNA predicted gene, 25991